rnacentral:rRNA from 1 species
AUACCGGAUACUCCUUCUUGUUAUAAGACAAGUCGGGAAAGUUUUUCGCUAAGGGAUCAGUCUAUGUUCCAUCAGCUUGUUGGUGAGGUAAUGGCUCACCAAGGCUAUGACGGAUAUCUGGUUUGAGAGGAUGAUCAGACACACUGGAACUGAGACACGGUCCAGACUCCUGCGGGAGGCAGCAGUGAGGAAUAUUGCACAAUGGAGGAAACUCUGAUGCAGCAACGCCGCGUGGAGGAUGACGCAUUUCGGUGUGUAAACUCCUUUUAUUAGGGAAGAUAAUGACGGUGCCUAAUGAAUAAGCACCGGCUAACUCCGUGCCAGCAGCCGCGGUAAUACGGAGGGUGCGAGCGUUACUCGGAAUCACUGGGCGUAAAGGGUGCGUAGGCUGGCCUUUAAGAUACCGGAUACUCCUUCUUGUUAUAAGACAAGUCGGGAAAGUUUUUCGCUAAGGGAUCAGUCUAUGUUCCAUCAGCUUGUUGGUGAGGUAAUGGCUCACCAAGGCUAUGACGGAUAUCUGGUUUGAGAGGAUGAUCAGACACACUGGAACUGAGACACGGUCCAGACUCCUGCGGGAGGCAGCAGUGAGGAAUAUUGCACAAUGGAGGAAACUCUGAUGCAGCAACGCCGCGUGGAGGAUGACGCAUUUCGGUGUGUAAACUCCUUUUAUUAGGGAAGAUAAUGACGGUGCCUAAUGAAUAAGCACCGGCUAACUCCGUGCCAGCAGCCGCGGUAAUACGGAGGGUGCGAGCGUUACUCGGAAUCACUGGGCGUAAAGGGUGCGUAGGCUGGCCUUUAAG